CCAUGUGCGUCAUCCUCCUGGUGAUGAGUCCUCCAAGAACUAGAGCAUGCUAUUACACCUAAUAGCUAGUAAAGAAUCUAGUAAUGAAGAUUACAUAGUUGCUUGAAUCAUCACAGAUUGGUACGCAGAUCAUUAAAUACAAUAAAGUGACAACACAUAUGGCUCCUACCGUGUUGCCGUACGCGCGACACGCAGGUCACGAAUGAGUU
rnacentral:lncRNA from 1 species